rnacentral:rRNA from 1 species
UACAGAGGGGGCAAGCGUUGUUCGGAAUUACUGGGCGUAAAGGGCGCGUAGGCGGCCUUCUAAGUCGAACGUGAAAUCCCCGGGCUCAACCCGGGAACUGCGUCCGAUACUGGAAGGCUUGAAUCCGGGAGAGGGAUGCGGAAUUCCGAGGUGUAGCGGUGAAAUGCGUAGAUAUCUGGAGGAACACCGGUGGCGAAGGCGGCAUCCUGGACCGGCAUUGACGCUGAGGCGCGAAAGCCAGGGGAGCAAAGCGGG